rnacentral:rRNA from 1 species
AUUUGCGCAUGGCGGGAAACCCUGNCGCAGCAACGCCGCGUGAGUGAGGAAGGUCUUCGGAUUGUAAAACUCUUUUGCUAGGGAAAAACGACUUAACGGUUAAUACCCGUUAGGAGUGAUGGUACCUAAAGAAUAAGGACCGGCUAACUUCGUGCCAGCAGCCGCGGUAAUACGAAGGGUCCAAGCGUUGUUCGGAAUCAUUGGGCGUAAAGCGCGCGCAGGCGGAUCAGCAAGUCAGAUGUGAAAUCUCGAAGCUCAACUUCGAAACUGCGUCUGAAACUGCUAGUCUAGAGUGUCGGAGGGGGUAGGGGAAUUUCACGUGUAGGGGUAAAAUCCGUAGAGAUGUGAAGGAACACCGGGGGCGAAGGCGCCUACCUGGACGACUACUGACGCUGAGGCGCGAAAGCGUGGGGAGCAAACAGGAUUAGAUACCCUGGUAGUCCACGCCGUAAACGAUGAACACUAGUUAUUGGGGGUAUUGACUCCCUCAGUGACGCAGCUAACGCAUUAAGUGUUCCGCCUGGGGAGUACGGUCGCAAGACUAAAACUCAAAAAAAUUGACGGA